AUCGCUAUGGAUCCUCUCGCGCAAUGGUAUCCCAGGUAUCAGCUUUGGAGAUUGGGUGAAAAAGACUGCACGAAUUGGUGUUAUUUUUGUGAUAUCAUAGAGAGACAUAACUGUUACUUGCAAGUUGUAGCUGUAAGUGAAGUAAGAGAGUCCUGGCAUGGAAAUGGCUUGCGCAGGCCGACAUGCUUAUCAAGACAAGUUGGUCGUGGCAAGGUUCAUCUUUUAUUUCUAUGCUGUCAUAUACUGAAAAGUUUGUAAGACAAAAAUAAAAAAUUUCACCUAAAAGAGUGGAUUUGAUAUGAGAGGUAAAGGUUCAGGGACAGAAUAUGUUAUCCUAUUUCAGGGAUAUGGUUGUAUAAAAUAAUGAUGAAUUUUUUCUUUUACAAUGGACCGCUGUCCUUGCAUCCUUGGGGAUAUUGAUUAAUGAUUUGUAACAUUUUCUUGUAGGCUUAAAAAAAGGUUCUUUCUUAUACUUAUAGUUAUUAUUGUUACUUCUUUGAUUUUAAUAGUUUCUACAAUUCCACGGAUAGUGGGAAUCGAACCCGCAUCUUCUCUUUGGCAAAGAAAAAUUUUACAGAAUAGAACAUUUUGAGCUUGCAUUAUAUUACACUACUAAAUUAAAUUGCAAUAAUUACCUCACGGAAAUAUAACUUUCUUGAAAUGUAUGUCAAGAAUGUGUACAAAAGAGAAUAAUAAGAAGAAGAAGAAGUAGAAAUUGUUGCACAAAUUAUAAAAGUAACGAUCUGGAUAGUCGAACCAACAUACUCAAUCGAGAAAUGAGCCGGGAAGUAUACAAAUAAAUUAGUCAGAUCACCAGUCAAAAUUAAGUCUUUUGGGUUGAGCACUGAUAAUUGGUAUAAAAAGGAUUUUGCAGCAAAAUAGAUUUAAGUAAAUUAACUAAACAGUUUUGCCAUUUCUUUUUUUCUGCGUUUUCGACGAGCAUAAAGGUAGACUUGCCAAUAGCCAUGACUUAAUCAUUUACUCGCACGAGCAAGAAGCCUUAACAUUCCAGCAAAUCACAUGACACAGUAUUGAAACUUACAUAGUUAUUUCUGUGUACAAGUUACAUACCCUUCUAUAACCUUAAGCACCCAGUCCGUACAAAGGCUUGCCCACUGGCCUCGUAUUGUUCCACAGCCACUGACGUGCAGAACCAGACACCAACGGUGAAACCUGUUGACAACAUCCAGUGAUCUUGACAUCACUUUAUGUAAUAAUAAAAGUUUUUAAAGUAUAUACAAAUAGCCUAAUAGAAACUAUUUCCUCGUGUGUUCUGAUGACUAGUUGCCGUGUGAUUCUGAGCUCUAACGGAGCAUCAUGUAAAGACUAGAGCUACCUUGGGCUUGUUAGUGUGAGAGUGGCUAGCAAGUUGUGUGUUGGUAGUUCCAGUGUUCUUAAGACGCACAACAUGUGUAUGCUAGUGAAGGAAAAUAUUCUUAAGGUCCCAAACGAAUAAUGUGUGCACGGGUAGAUUCCCACAUUGAAAGAGUAAUUAUGGAGGAAUGAAUGCACAAAACACCUGAAAAUAUUCUUAAGGUCCCAAACGAAUAGUGUGUGCAAGGGUAGAUUCCCACAUUGAAAGAGUAAUUAUGGAAGAUUGAAUGCCAAAGACACCUGUCGACUUGAGUUUUUGACACCUCCAAUACAUGUGUUUAAACUUAAAAGACCAAUUUACCCUACCGAACUCCUUGGGAUCACCAAACAGAACAAGUUGAGACAUUUGCUUGCUUACCUUUUCCCAAGUUUGGCGAUGGUAAUCAUUGAGCCAAUCAACCUCAGCAGUAGAUAGUAAGGAUAAGUCAACCAUUUUGGUCUGCAUGGUGAAAAGGUAUUUUAUUAAGUUACAGAUGAAAAGUAUUUAGGCCUUGCUUGGUAGGAUGGACAGCAUAGUACUGCAGUACUGGAUUAUAUACAUAAGAAGAAGAAACUAAAUGUUGUGCAUUGUAUUAUCCCGUCAUGUCCAAUACAGUAUGCCAAAAAUACCUUUAAUGAGUUGCAAACAAAAAGUAUAUCAUGAGAUGGUUAAAAAAUACAUUCCAUUAUAAGCUAAAAUAUGGCACAUACGAAUUAUAAUAGACAGGUUUUACCACGGGGAAAAAUUGCAGCUAUCAGCAAUUUCACCGGAUCAACUAUGAAUCUCUACAAACCUACCCCAGGUCUUAAUAGCAACAUCAAAUGGUUUAGUAAGCAUAAUUCAUUUUACAGCACCCAACAAAUUUGUUAUCUUAGAUUUUAAAUCGCUAUGGAUCCUCUCGCGCAAUGGUAUCCCAGGUAUCAGCUUUGGAGAUUGGGUGAAAAAGACUGCACGAAUUGGUGUUAUUUUUGUGAUAUCUUUAUAAUUUACAAGCUGAUGAUGUUUGUGAAGACCCUUUUCCUUUUCUAAAUUAACAGGCAUUUAGAAACUAGUAAUAAGAAUUUUAUCCCGAGAUCAAUUUUAUAAUGAAAUUAUCCAACUUUUCAAAAAAACUUUUGAAAAUUGCAUGUAGUGUUUUCAUCUAUGUUUCCUUUUGCGUGGGAGUGAAUGUAGAAGUUAGAUAGAUAUACCAGGGAAUACACAGAGUUGAUCACACAUUAUUACAAUCGAUUAACUGAAGACUUUUUAAUGAAGGCAAAGCAGGUUAUAAUGCCUUGAAACCUAAUGAAAUAUGCAGUAAUGGAGCCUAAGCCUCCUGGAGAAAGAGCCGAAACCAACUCUGAAACUUUGAGCAGGUUAUUUAUGUAAAGGGUCACCUGUGACUGAAACUUUACAACUUGAACAAAAUAGUGUAAUUUUAAAUCAUGUUUGGAGAGAUUUCUGCCACGUUGG
rnacentral:lncRNA from 1 species